rnacentral:rRNA from 1 species
AGAGUUUGAUCAUGGCUCAGGACGAACGCUGGCGGCGUGCUUAACACAUGCAAGUCGAACGGAAAGGCCCCUUCGGGGGUGCUCGAGUGGCGAACGGGUGAGUAACACGUGGGUGAUCUGCCCUGCACUUUGGGAUAAGCCUGGGAAACUGGGUCUAAUACCGGAUAGGACCACGGUCUGCAUGGGCUGUGGUGGAAAGCUUUUGCGGUGUGGGAUGGGCCCGCGGCCUAUCAGCUUGUUGGUGGGGUGAUGGCCCACCAAGGCGACGACGGGUAGCCGGCCUGAGAGGGUGUCCGGCCACACUGGGACUGAGAUACGGCCCAGACUCCUACGGGAGGCAGCAGUGGGGAAUAUUGCACAAUGGGCGCAAGCCUGAUGCAGCGACGCCGCGUGAGGGAUGACGGCCUUCGGGUUGUAAACCUCUUUCAAUGCCGACGAAGCGCAAGUGACAGUAGGCGUAGAAGAAGCACCGGCCUACUACGUGCCAGCAGCCGCGGUA